UACAGAGGUCUCAAGCGUUGUUCGGAUUCAUUGGGCGUAAAGGGUGCGUAGGUGGCAUGGUAAGUCGGAUGUGAAAUCCCGGGGCUCAACCCCGGAACUGCAUUCGAUACUGCUGCGCUAGAGUACUGGAGAGGAGAUUGGAAUUUACGGUGUAGCAGUGAAAUGCGUAGAUAUCGUAAGGAAGACCAGUGGCGAAGGCGGAUCUCUGGACAGUUACUGACACUGAGGCACGAAGGCCAAGGGGAGCAAACGGG
rnacentral:rRNA from 1 species